AUUGAACGCUGGCGGCAGGCUUAACACAUGCAAGUCGAGCGGGGUGAUGGUGCUUGCACUAUCACUUAGCGGCGGACGGGUGAGUAAUGCUUAGGAAUCUGCCUAUUAGUGGGGGACAACAUCUCGAAAGGGAUGCUAAUACCGCAUACGUCCUACGGGAGAAAGCAGGGGAUCACUUGUGACCUUGCGCUAAUAGAUGAGCCUAAGUCGGAUUAGCUAGUUGGUGGGGUAAAGGCCUACCAAGGCGACGAUCUGUAGCGGGUCUGAGAGGAUGAUCCGCCACACUGGGACUGAGACACGGCCCAGACUCCGACGGGAGGCAGCAGUGGGGAAUAUUGGACAAUGGGGGGAACCCUGAUCCAGCCAUGCCGCGUGUGUGAAGAAGGCCUUUUGGUUGUAAAGCACUUUAAGCGAGGAGGAGGCUUUGUGGGUUAAUACCCUGCAAAGUGGACGUUACUCGCAGAAUAAGCACCGGCUAACUCUGUGCCAGCCGCCGCAGUAA
rnacentral:rRNA from 1 species